rnacentral:rRNA from 1 species
ACGGAGGGGGCUAGCGUUGUUCGGAAUUACUGGGCGUAAAGGGCGCGCAGGUGGCUUGUCGAGUCAGGCGUGAAAGGCCCGGGCUUAACCCGGGAACGGCGCUUGAUACUGACGAGCUUGAGAUCGGGAGAGGAGAGUGGAAUUCCCAGUGUAGAGGUGAAAUUCGUAGAUAUUGGGAGGAACACCAGUGGCGAAGGCGGCUUUCUGGACGAUAACUGACGCUGAGGCGCGGAAGCGUGGGGAGCAAACA